CAUGUUUUUACAGAAGAGUGAAGUCGUUGUCCCCACAUGGAUAGGAAUAUCUGAUGGGUGUAACAUUGUGGGCAGCUCCCUGUGAGGAAAGUUGCUUCAAAAAGGCUGCAGCUUUUAUUUAAUGAAUUGAAAGGACUAAAAAAGAUUCCUUUUGGUUACUGAGGUACGGACUGUGUUCCAGCUGGAAGCAGGAGGGUGGAAAAUCCAUUUGGGGCUUAAAGCCUGGAGCAUUUCCUUAUGGUGUACACGGUCCAGCACUGCUACUGUGGUAAAGAUUACCACCCCACACUGGGCUGCUGCUGGGUCAGCGCUGGGCCAGAUAUCACAACCGCCAACCCUGUCUACAUGAAUGUAAUGGAGCAGACUAUUACAUCUUUGCCAGUUUAUGGACCUGUGAUAACCGUGUCAUUGUAUCUUCAGGAAGCAGUGGAUCCACAGUUUAUCCUCGGAGCUCUGGGGGUUUUUGUGAAAUAGCAGG